GGGAGAGCGGGCCUGCCGGGGGUGACAGAAGAGAGUCCCUUUGGGGAUGUACUGAAUGCAGAUGUGCUUCUAGGUUAUGCAAUGAGGAUAUUUCACUGGAGGGACAGACCUAGAACUGGAGGCUAAUCCAUGGAGGCAGAGGCAGUGAGGACAUGGGACAGAGCGUGAGGAGCCCAGGAGAGAAGGGAAUCGUUUCAAAGAAUACCCCUAAUGAAAGGAACAAAAUAAAGGGAGGAAGAAAGAGUUGUCUGUGUCCUACAAAACCAUUGGAAAGGAAUCCAUCCUUCUAUCUGGGCUCCAGCUGCGACCAGAGGCCCCUUCCGUGCUCCAGCUCCCAGUAGGCCCCAACAGCAUCCGUCACAACAUGCUUCCCCAUCCCAUGUGUCUAUAAGGGGUCCUUCAUUGAAGCCUCUUCAUUUGAACCAUCCAGGAUCCAUUCUGCUUCCUGCCUUGACCCUGGUGCAGCCAGUUGGUAGAAGAUAAAACUGGGACCCAUAGAGCGCUGUGUAGCUCUUCAGGGUGGCCAUGUACAUUUGUGUAUGCUGUAGACUGCACAACUGCAGGGGCCGCCAUUCACUUCGCAAUCCAUGGGAAUGAUUUGCCCCAGAUUUAUGCAGCACAC
rnacentral:lncRNA from 1 species